CCUACACGCUGCAUUCAUGUAUGCGGCUACAAAUGACAGCUACACAUUUUCUUCUGUUCUAUUUGUCAAAUGUAGCUACACGAUGUAGCUAUCGUUUGGGACCUUUUCAAUCCGUGUAUGUUCAGCUGUCAUAUUGUGGUUGUCAAACAUAGUUGGUUGUGUUUAUAUUAUGCGGAGAUCACUCCGGUUGUGUUUUUGCCGUGAUACACAAAGUUUCUUUUUUUUACAGUGGAAAAAUGGAAAUAAAUCAACUUCUUCCAACUUUAGCGGCUGAAGUGGCUACUCUCAUGUUGAUACUCAUAGAAGAGGAAGACGAAGAACUGCAGCAAGAGGAAAAUGCACGGCGCUGCUGGAUGACCGAUCUAUUUCUGGAGAGGGAAAGCGUUUGGACCCGGCUGUUUAGGGCGAUAGAUGGUGAAGGACCAAACAACCGGCUAGAAAAUUUUUUAAAUCGGAUUGGUCCAAAAAUUGAGCGACAAGAUACAACGAUGCGACCUUCGAUCUGCCCGAAGCAACGAUUAUGCAUCGGGCUUCGCUUUUUAGCUUCGGGAGACUCAUAUGAAUCUCUUGCUUUUUUGUUUAGGGUUUCUAGCAGUUCCGUAUCCCGUAUUGUGCGUGAUGUUUGUACAUACAUAAUAAAUGAAUUGAAGGAA